UUCUUUCCAUGCAUCGUCUUUAAUUUUUACUUGAUCUAUGUCUAUAAAAGAGACUUUCCAUAGAUGUUCUAAUCAAUGUCUAAACCUUAUCUCUAGAAAAAUCUCUGAAACCCGAUGCCGCCUCUGUAAACAACAUCCAACAUAUCUCGUCGAAGUUCUGUUCAAUAAUCUCAUGUUUUUCACUUAUCCAAAUUAUUUUAUUUUUAUCUUUACCUCUAAUUUAUUUGUAACUAAUACUCCCACAUAUGCUUUCACUUAAUUUUUUUUGUUUGUCUUUAUUGUUUAAUUUAAGUUUAUUUGUUAUAAUUUAGUUAUUCAAGAUUGUUUUGAUUUUUAUAUUUUGCAAGAUUUUCUUAGGUUUUAACAAUUGGAUUAAUUAUUUCAUUUUCUACCUUAUUAUAUAAUUUUUUUUUUUUGGUUUAUAGAAUGGUAAAGCCCUUACAAAGAGAGGGGGUGACGAGAUUCGACCCAUGGCUACAUGCUUUCCUCAAAGCCUCUUAACCAAUAGGCCAAAAGGUGGAAGGCAAUUUGUUAUAUAAUUAUUUAAACCAAAAGCAUUAAGUUAUUGACUGAC
rnacentral:lncRNA from 1 species